GGGUGCAUAGCUCAGUGGCAGAGCGCCGCCCUUACAAGGCGGAUGUCGGCGGUUCGAACCCGUCUGCACCCA
rnacentral:tRNA from 1 species